UGAGCAAUCUGCCCUUCUCUUUGGAAUAAGCGUUGGAAACGACGUCUAAUGCCGAAUACGACCUCCUUUCGCAUGAUCGGAGGUGGAAAGCUCCGGCGGAGAAGGAUGAGCUCGUGGCCUAUCAGCUAGUUGGUGUGGGUAAUGGCCCACCAAGGCGACGACGGGUAGCCGGCCUGAGAGGGUGACCGGCCACACUGGGACUGAGACACGGCCCAAAACUCCUACGGGAGCAGCAGG
rnacentral:rRNA from 1 species